CCUACGGGCGGCAGCAGUGAGGAAUAUUGGUCAAUGGACGAGAGUCUGAACCAGCCAAGUAGCGUGAAGGAUGACUGCCCUAUGGGUUGUAAACUUCUUUUAUAUGGGAAUAAUAAGUUCCACGUGUGGGAUUUUGUAUGUACCAUAUGAAUAAGGAUCGGCUAACUCCGUGCCAGCAGCCGCGGUAAUACGGAGGAUUCGAGCGUUAUCCGGAUUUAUUGGGUUUAAAGGGAGCGUAGGUGGAUUGUUAAGUCAGUUGUUAAAGUUUGCGGCUUAACCGUAAAAUUGCAGUUGAAACUGGAAGUCUUGAGUACAGUAGAGGUGGGCGGAAUACGUGGUGUAGCGGUGAAAUGCUUAGAUAUCACGAAGAACUCCGAUUGCGAAGGCAGCUCACUGGACUGCAACUGACACUGAGGCUCGAAAGUGUGGGUAUCAAACAGGAUUAGAUACCCGGGUAGUC
rnacentral:rRNA from 1 species